rnacentral:rRNA from 1 species
ACCUACGGGGGGCAGCAGUGAGGAAUAUUGGUCAAUGGUCGGGAGACUGAACCAGCCAAGCCGCGUGAGGGAUGAAGGUACAGAGUAUCGUAAACCUCUUUUGUCAGGGAACAAAGGCGGGGACGUGUCCCCGGAUGAGUGUACCUGAAGAAAAAGCAUCGGCUAACUCCGUGCCAGCAGCCGCGGUAAUACGGAGGAUGCGAGCGUUAUCCGGGUUUAUUGGGUUUAAAGGGUGCGCAGGCGGUCUGUUAAGUCAGCGGUCAAAGCCCGGGGCUCAACCCCGGCCCGCCGUUGAAACUGGCAGG